AGGACAGGACUCAUCUGCCACUAGUCCAGGUUGCUCAGAGCCCCAUCCGGUAUAUACUAAUUUCUCAAGCGAAGUGAGAAAAGCUUUGUCUCAUGCAGUCGCUUAUCUCCUCCGUGUUUGUCCUAGGAAGAUUUUUGAGGAUAGCGGCAUUUCAAAAGGUGAUCUGACUUGUCCUUUCACAUGGAAAUUUCCUGAAGAUCCCUACUGAUACUGAGGUGUUUAGAUUCCGGCUGAGAUCCUGUUUUUCCUGCUGUCACACUGGCAAUGUAAUGAUAGACUUGCUCAGAUCUAUUGGUGAUGAGUGCUACAACCCAUGGAAACCAACACCCUUUGAAAUCCUCUGUGUGUUCUGCCAGCAUCAAACAACCCUUCCUUGUUAGCAUGUGCCACACUCUAGGUCACCACAGAGGGUUUAAGCUGGCAAGAAAGAGAUUAAGAAGUCUCUUUCAGUGUACUCAUGAAUUUCAGCCUGGGGAGGAAGUGCCAGAAAGACAGAGCUGUUUAGGUAUGACUGUCUAAAUCCCAGAAGAACUUUACAAAGAGUGAAGAAGUUUCAUACACACAUACAUUUCUUUGAGUCAGGUAUUUCUUUUAUGGUCUCUACAGAAAAUGCAUGAAGUCUUG
rnacentral:lncRNA from 1 species